GACGAACGCUGGCGGCGUGCUUAACACAUGCAAGUCGAACGGAAAGGCCCUGCUUGCAGGGUACUCGAGUGGCGAACGGGUGAGUAACACGUGGGUGAUCUGCCCUGCACUUCGGGAUAAGCUUGGGAAACUGGGUCUAAUACCGGAUAGGAGCCAUCUUUAGUGUGGUGGUUGGAAAGUUUUUUCGGUGUAGGAUGAGCUCGCGGCCUAUCAGCUUGUUGGUGGGGUAAUGGCCUACCAAGGCGGCGACGGGUAGCCGGCCUGAGAGGGUGUACGGCCACAUUGGAACUGAGAUACGGGCCAGACUCCUACGGGAGGCAGCAGUGGGGAAUAUUGCACAAUGGGCGCAAGCCUGAUGCAGCGACGCCGCGUGAGGGAUGAAGGCCUUCGGGUUGUAAACUCCUUUCGCUAGGGACGAAGCUUUGUUGUGACGGUACCUAGAUAAGAAGCACCGGCUAACUACGUG
rnacentral:rRNA from 1 species